rnacentral:rRNA from 1 species
AACGAACGCUGGCGGCGUGCCUAACACAUGCAAGUCGAACGGAAUGAGGGGGCUUGCUCCUUCAUUUAGUGGCGCACGAUUGAGUAACGCGUAGAUAAUCUGCCUGACGAUCCGGGAUAACACUUCGAAAGAGGUGCUAAUACCGUAUAAGCCCACGGGUUCGUUGGAAGCUGCGGGAAAAGGGUGGGACCUUCGGGCCUUCUGUCGUCAGAUGAGUCUGCGUACCAUUAGCUAGUCGGGAGGGUAAAAGCCUACCAAGGCGACGAUGGUUGGCUGGUCUGAGAGGAUGAUCAGCCACAAUGAACCGGAGCACCGUUCCAGAUUACUACGGGAGGCAGCAGUGGGGAAUUUUGCGCAAUGGGCGAAAGCCUGACGCAGCAAGGCCGCGUGAGUGAUGAAGGCUUUCGGGUCGUAAAGCUCUGUCAAUGGGAAAGAAGUGUAUUGGAGCUAAUAUCUCCGAUACUUGACGGUACCCAUAAAGGAAGCACCGGCUAACUCCGUGCCAGCAGCCGCCGUAACAC